UACAGAGGGGGCAAGCGUUAUUCGGAAUUAUUGGGCGUAAAGGGCGCGUAGGCGGCUUGGCAAGUGGAUGGUGAAAUCCCUCGGCUUAACCGAGGAACUGCCGUCCAAACUGCUUAGCUUGAGACCGGGAGAGGUGAGUGGAAUUCCCAGUGUAGCGGUGAAAUGCGUAGAUAUUGGGAGGAACACCAGUGGCGAAGGCGGCUCACUGGACCGGAACUGACGCUGAUGCGCGAAAGCGUGGGGAGCGAACAGG
rnacentral:rRNA from 1 species